rnacentral:lncRNA from 1 species
UAUAAGGAUUAAUUUUAUACAGGUCUCUACAAAUAUAGUGAAUGACAAAUAUAAUCCUAUAAAGUUUAACUUUUAUAAGUUCUAAUAUUUUCAAAUAUGUCUCUCUAAUUUGUUAUCGUUAGAGAAUUUUUAGAAAACUGUUUAUAUUUUUAAUUUUGUUAUCACAAAUAUAUUUCUCCAAAAAUUAUAACAGUAUAAUAUAUAUAAUUGACGUAAAAAUAUUAAAAACUAAUUAAGGUUAAAUAUUUAAGCCAUAGUUAGUUAAAGUUUUCUAACGAAUUUCAACAACAGGAGCAUAUUUGAAAAUAUGAGAACUUUUAUAAAAACAAUAUAUUAUGAAAAUUAAAUUUGCUAGG